GACGAACGCUGGCGGCGUGCCUAAUACAUGCAAGUUGAGCGCUGAAGGUUGGUACUUGUACCAACUGGAUGAGCAGCGAACGGGUGAGUAACGCGUGGGGAAUCUGCCUUUGAGCGGGGGACAACAUUUGGAAACGAAUGCUAAUACCGCAUAAAAACUUUAAACACAAGUUUUAAGUUUGAAAGAUGCAAUUGCAUCACUCAAAGAUGAUCCCGCGUUGUAUUAGCUAGUUGGUGAGGUAAAGGCUCACCAAGGCGAUGAUACAUAGCCGACCUGAGAGGGGGAUCGGCCACAUUGGGACGGAGACACGGCCCAAACUCCUACGGGAGGCAGCAGUAGGGAAUCUUCGGCAAUGGAAGAAAGUCUGACCGAGCAACGCCGCGUGAGUGAAGAAGGUUUUCGGAUCGUAAAACUCUGUUGGUAGAGAAGAACGUUGGUGAGAGUGGAAAGCUCAUCAAGUGACGGUAACUACCCAGAAAGGGACGGCUAACUACGUG
rnacentral:rRNA from 1 species